AUUUUGUUCACUGCCAGCUGAUCUUAACCAGUUCCCAGAUUUGUGUUGUAUCGUUUGGGGCUUAUGAGAAAAUGGUGAACUUGAUCUACCUUCUUUUUUUUUUCUUUCUCCCAUUGAAAAAGUCAGAAUUUCUCCCUUCCUCUCUCAUAGGUUCUACCUGACCUUCUCAAUAGGUAGCCAAGUUUUAAUGGUAGAAGCACAGCGAGCGGAAUCUUAAAAAGACUUGGUGUCCCAGCCUGCACAACAUGAUGACACCUCGUCUCUACAAAUUAGCUGAGCAUGGUGGUAUAUGCCUGUAGUCGCAACUGCUGGGGAGGCUGAGAUGGGAGGAUCACUUUAACCCUGAGAGGUCGAGGCUGCAGUGGGCCAUGAUUGAGCUGCUGUACUCCAGCCCGGGUGACGGAGUAAGACCCAGUAUAAAAAAAAGAGACUUGGUGCCUAAUAAAUAUAUUUCUUAUUGAUAUUGAUUAAUUGAUUGAUUUGUUAUUUACAUCUCCCAAAUGAGUGGGAGAUGUAAUAAAGUUUAAUUUACAGAUUAUACACGUAAGAGAUCAACAACAAUAACUAAUAAUAAAAUAGAACAAUUAUAACAAUAUACUGGGCUAAGCAUGAUGGUUCACAAUUGUAAUCCCAACACCUUGGGAGGCCAAGUGGGAAGAUCACUUAGGGCCUGGAGUUUGAGACCAGCCUGGGCAACAUGGCAAGACUCUG
rnacentral:lncRNA from 1 species